GAGAGUUCGAGUUUCCCGCUACCGAAACAGUACCUGGAUUUCGGCAUCAACAGCAACAAUCAGUUGGCAGAGAAGGUCAGAUUGCGCCUUCGAUAUGAAGAGGCUAAGAGAAGGAUCGCCAACCUGAAGAUCCAGCUGGCCAAGCUUGACAGUGAGGCCUGGCCUGGGGUGCUGGACUCAGAGAGGGACCGGCUGAUCCUUAUCAACGAGAAGGAGGAGCUGCUGAAGGAGAUGCGCUUCAUCAGCCCCCGCAA
rnacentral:lncRNA from 1 species